rnacentral:lncRNA from 1 species
AACAAGAAAAAUCCUCCUGGCAAGCUUCACGCAGCGAUAUCGAGUUUUUGGAUUGCAGCAAAGAGCCUGAGCAGCCCUGAGGAGAAGAGCCUGGUGCUUGUGACCAGUUGUUCACCCUUGCCUUGGCUCAGGCCACGUUUUGCAGCCCGGUUUCUGUGUUUUGAUAAACUGAAAUGCUUUUGGUUGCCCUGAAAACCGGAGUUUUUCUUGGAUUUUUUUUUUCUUCCCCCCCCCCUCCCACCGCCACCCAGUUUUUCAGUUUUCCUGAUGGGGAGUUUCAAUUUCAAAGUAUUUUUGGCUUUUCCAGUUUUGGAAAGCUCCUGAGUUUUGGAGUUUAGCCAAAUCCCUGUGAAAAAUUAAAGAAAGGAGAAGCAAAAAGAGAGAGGAACCAUUUUUCUUUUCUCUCCACGUUUUUCACAGGAAAUACUUCACGUUUUUGAUGAACUCUGCUUUUCUGCUUUGCCAGUUCACAGCCUGAGCUGUAGGAAUUAAAGGGAAAGGCACUGUAAGUGCACACUCUGACCUGGCAGGGAAUUUAAAACACCUUGAAUUUCACUGGGGCUUUGGCAGGCUCAUUUCUAACAAUUAUAAUAAUUUAUCAUUAGGCAAGGACAAAGCAGCCUGGGACUGCUCAUCCCUUCCCAUCCCUUCCAUUCCUUCCCAUCCCUGCUUGUUUCUUCCCAUCCUUGCUCAUCCAUUCCCAUCCCUGCUUGUUCCUUUCCAUCCCUGUCCAUUCCUUCCAUUCCUGCUCAUCCAUUCCCAUCCCUGUCCAUUCCUUCCCAUUCCUUUCUACCCCCUGCUCAUCCCAUUCCCGUCCCUGCUCAUUCCUUCCCAUCCCAAAAUCUCAUUCCUUUCAAAGCCUGUUCAUCCCUUCCCAUCCCUUCCCAUUCCUGUCCAUCCCUUCCCAUCCCUUUCUAUCCCUUUCCACCCCUGCUCAUCCAUUCCCAUCCCUGGUCAUCCCUUUCCAUCCCUGCUCAUUCCUUCCCAUCCCAAAAUCUCAUUCCUUUCAAAGCCUGUUCAUCCCUUCCCAUCCCUGCUUGUUCCUUCCCAUCCUUUUCCAUCCCUUCCCAUCCCUUCCAUCCCUUUCCAUCCCUGCUCAUUCCUUUUUAUCCAUUUCCAUCCUUUUCCAUCCCUUCCCAUCCCUUCCCAUCCCUUCCCAUCCCUGUCCAUCCCUGCUCAUCCUUUUCCAUCCCUCCCAUCCCUCCCAGCCCUGCCCACUCCCCUGGCAGCUGCAGCCCUGCUGUGUUUUGCAGGAUGAGGAUGAUGAUGGGCUGCCCAAGAAGAAGUGGCCGACAGUGGACGCCUCCUACUACGGAGGGCGAGGAGUGGGCGGCAUCAAGCGGAUGGAGGAGCGCUGGGGUUUGGGGACACCCCGAUGGGGAGGGGACGCAUUUCAGGAACUGCUCUGAGCAGGAAAAUGGCCCAGCUGAGCUAAAGCUCCCUCUGGGCUGGUGAAGGAGAGGGGUGGGAGGGUCUGAGAGCUCCAUCCAUGCCAGGGUGCUGGGACAGGGUAGGACAGGAGGGUCUGAGAGGUCCCAGCUGUGCCUUGGGGGUACCAGGGGUAGGACAGGGGGGUCUGUGGGGGUCCAUCCCAUGCCAUGGUGGUGGGACAGGGUGGUCUGUGAGCUCCAUGGUGGUACCAGGGGUGGCAUGGCAAGGUCUAUGGGGUCCCAGCCAUACCAGGGUGGUCUGUGAGCUCCAUGGUGGUGGUCAGGGCUGGGACAGUGUGGUCUUUGAGCUCCAUCCCAUGCCAGGGUGAUGGGACAGAGGGGUCUGUGGGGUCCCAGCCAUGCCAUGAUGGUACCAAGAAUGGGACAGGGUGGUCUGUGAGCUCCAUGGGGGUGGGACAGGGUGGUCUGUUGGGUCCAUCCCACGCC